rnacentral:rRNA from 1 species
AGUGAACGCUGGCGGCGUGCCUAAUACAUGCAAGUCGAACGGAGAUUCAGUAGCUUGCUAUUUAAUCUUAGUGGCGCACGGGUGAGUAAUAUAUAGCUAACUUGCCCAUUACUAAGGGACAACAGUUGGAAACGACUGCUAAUACCUUAUACUCCGUAUCUAUAUAAGUAGAUACGGGAAAGUUUUUCGGUAAUGGAUAGGGCUAUAUCGUAUCAGCUAGUUGGUAAGGUAAUGGCUUACCAAGGCUAUGACGCGUAACUGGUCUGAGAGGAUGAUCAGUCACACUGGAACUGAGACACGGUCCAGACUCCUACGGGGGGCAGCAGUAGGGAAGAUUGCUCAAUGGGGGAAACCCUGAAGCAGCAACGCCGCGUGGAGGAUGACACUUUUCGGAGCGGAAACUCCUUUUCUUGGGAAAGAAUUAUGACGGUACCCAAGGAAUAAGCACCGGCUAACUCCGUG